GUCGUCAGCUCGUGUCGUGAGAUGUUGGGUUAAGUCCCGCAACGAGCGCAACCCUUGUCUUUAGUUGCCAUCAUUAAGUUGGGCACUCUAGAGAGACUGCCAGGGAUAACCUGGAGGAAGGUGGGGAUGACGUCAAAUCAUCAUGCCCCUUAUGCUUAGGGCUACACACGUGCUACAAUGGGUAGUACAGAGGGUUGCCAAGCCGUAAGGUGGAGCUAAUCCCUUAAAGCUACUCUCAGUUCGGAUUGUAGGCUGAAACUCGCCUACAUGAAGCUGGAGUUACUAGUAAUCGCAGAUCAGAAUGCUGCGGUGAAUGCGUUCCCGGGUCUUGUACACACCGCCCGUCACACCACGGGAGUUGGAGACGCCCGAAGCCGAUUAUCUAACCUUUUGGAAGAAGUCGUCGAAGGUGGAAUCAAUAACUGGGGUGAAGUCGUAACAAGGUAGCCGUAUCGGAAGGUGCGGCUGGAUCACCUCCUUU
rnacentral:rRNA from 1 species